AUCUUCUUUUGGUGAAGCACGCUCCGCCCCCGCCCCUGCCCCGUCCGCCCGCGCCGUCAAUGGAAGGUCCGCCAGAUCUCCUCUCCCCACAUGCAACGCGCCCGCGGUCCAUGGAAGGUCUGCCACCUCACCUCCUCCUGCGCCUCCCUUUCUCUGUGAGCAUCCAAUCCCAUUCAUGGUGCUCCCCAUCCAUCUGCCUCUAUCGUGCCGUGAUGCCCGCCCAUCCCCUCGGGCUAUCGAGAAGAAGGACGACCGUCAUCAUGACCAAGCUGCGGCCUCCCCGGGCCUCGAUCCCCCCACCGUCGCCACCUUCCCCACCCGCGUCGCGCAUGCCGCCACUCCACCCGCGACCACCCGGCAACAACACUGCGCAGUGCGCACCCAUUUAUGGCGGUGGUAGUGAAGGAGGGUUUGAAGGCCUGCGUGACAGAAACACCCUCGCCGUCGUCGCCGCUAGCCACAUGAGACGCGACCGCGAGGCACCACACACGGUCGUGCCCUCUCAGCCCUCUGUCACGCGUGGCGUGUCUAUGUCUCUUUGGCUCCGGUGACCUGCGACGCCGCGGAGUGCGUCCCGCACACGGUCGCGCCCCCUCAGCCCUCUGUCGCGCGUGACGCGCCCAUGCCCUUCGCGGGACCGUGCCCCCUCAGCCCUCUGUCGCGCGUGACGCGCCCAUGCCCUUCGCGGCUCCGGCAACCUGCGACCUGCAACGCCGCGGACUGCCUCCUUGCCCUUGCUGAUGUGCAAGGCGCAUUCCCAGAUUGGCGCCUCUUCAUUAGCGUGACUCUUGUCCUUCAAACUAUCAAGGCGAGUCACAUGCCCUCUUAUGUAUGAUCAUUUUGGUAACUAUUUUCUUCUUUUGCAGCCAAACAUGCCUGGCAUGCUCCUAGAAAAGAUGGAAACCACUAACCAUCAAGGGAGAUGUAAAACUUGUUCUUAGGUCUGUCAUCCAGAAAGGUCCAUCCUGAAGAUUUAAGUGUUGCUUUGCCCACUCCUUUUUUUAUAAGAGCAUUUCACCUAUUAUUCUGAUAGCAUGACAUGUACUCUGACAAUGCUAGGAAUGGAUCCAUCUUUAUCCUUCUAAAAGACUGCUUCCACUUGAUAUCCAUCUAGGGUAGGGCGGUAGGCUUCUCAUAUAGAGACCACAAUUCAGUAAUGACAUCUGCAAGUGAUCUCAUUGUCCCGAUGAUUUUCUAUCCAAGUUGCCUAGGAUGAUAGUGUCUGAUUGGACCCAUAUUAACUAGCAAGCUCCCCCAUGAGCUGUUGUAACUGGCGCUUGUCCAAUUACAUGUGCCUUUGAAGCAUCAUACCAAGAACCCUUCAAAGAGUCAAAGUCAGUGGCACCCCUUGAUGCAUCAUGGGUCCCUAUUUUUGAAGAACUAAAAUUGGCAACAUGAGAGCCAUCAUAUGCAUUGCCUCUUGAAGUCUUGAUGGAUCGAAUCCAAAACAAUAGGAGUUGUCCUUGACUGAAUUAACAUCUAUUGGUAUCACUAGAUAAAGAUGAAUCCAAACAGAGUAACAAUAAGCUUAAGGCAGAAAUCGGAUUAUGAGUGCUUUGAAAUGGUAGACUAAUCACUUUGUGAUCCAUUUUCUACACUUAAGUCUAGCAUUAGUGUAAGUAAUUCCGCAUUUGUUAUCAGCAACUGCUCAUGGGCCCAUGACUACCCAAUGUGAGAACAGAGGGGGGCAUCCAGAGCACUGACUAAAUCAUUCAUUAGUAGCAGUAACACACUAUGUAUUAUGUACACUAGAAUCUUGACAUGGCAGGUAUCUGCCAUCUUUAAAUUAUCUGGUAUGAUUUUGUAUACCUCUAUCAAAUGAUAACAUGCAACCCAUGGUGCUCAGGUCUUGCAAAUUUUGCUGAUUUAACAAACUAUGACAACUGGAUAUUUUCAGCAUUCUUCAUAAGCAAGUAAUUGUCUGUUAGGGUCAAGAAAUACUUUCUGUAUGUAGAUAUGGAUCUAAUUCUCUAACCUCCUAACAAACAUGCUACUUCUCGUAUCUAAAAUCUUGUAAAUAGAAUUAGUGUAAGUAAUUCUGCAUUUGUUAUAAGCUUAUGCUCAUGGUCCCAUGACUACCCAAUGCGAGAACAAAGGGGGCAUCGGCCCUGAAAACCACACAGACAAUUGACUUCUUUUUUUAUUCAUAAUUUUUUGCUCGUAAGGCUUGUUCUACAAGUGUUUAUUAUACUAUACUAUACUAUACUCAUUCAGAUCUGAACUUUUGCAGUUGCGAAGGGAAUCUCAAAUAAAAAAAUUUGUCGAUCUUAAGUUUCUUCAUCAACCAAGUAUUUUCUUAACAAUUUCAUUUGAAACUCAGUUAUGCCUGACUACAUUGAUCAUAGAGUAUUUUCUGGAUAAUAGAUCUAUGGUCUAAAACUUCAUGAUAAAUGGAGAACCUUCAUAAAUAAACUCAGAUCUAAAUUUAUACAACUCAUAUCAUUUUGCACCAACCACUCUAGGUACUUACUUUCCUCUCUAAUACUAUUAUCCAGAAACCUCUGCUCCUUUUCCUCAACAAAAAGGUUCAGAGAUAUGGAACAUCGCAACCUACAUGUUAUAGUCAUAAAUCAUAAGCUCCUUAUUCUUGUAAAAUUAAAUGGUUUUCAGAGCCCGGUAUCCAUGGAGAACCUUUUAUAUAAUUAUAACUGACAACAUUCAUCAAACAACUGACAUGCGCUAGGAAGGUGGUGCACUGCUCAUGCCGCCGCUUCAUGUCCAGCAGCUGCGUGUGGGCCUCCUCUUGCUCGCGUCGUAGCCGCAUCAGCUCCCACGCCAGGGCCUCCACAAUAAAAAAAGAAAAAACAACACAAAACCAAGCAACAGGCAGAAACAUUCAUCUGAGGCCUAGAUGUGAUCGACAGUGAGAGAAGGCCUAGGGGAGAAGAUGGCUGCAGAAAUGGUGAAGGCGGCGAUGAGUGGUAAGCUCAAGGAGAUGGAUUGGGAGAAGAAGAUCAAAAUCUGCGAGCUUGUGGAGCAAGAUCCUGGCGGAGGAUGUGAUAAAGUCUAUAAAUAAGUCUAUAUGGAGCAUGAGCAAGAGCACUUAACUAUUUGCUAUUAUGGUUGGAAGGGAUCCAAGAUUUGAGCCUGUAUAUGGAUCUGUUGACAAAGAAGGGUUCAGGAAAAGAUACAAUUUCUUAUUUGAUCAAGAAUUUCCUUCUGAAAAAGAAAGACUUCAGAAAUCUAAAGAACCCAAUGCCUUUGGAGAAAUGAAGAGUAGUAUCAUAUGAAUUGAGGCGCUCCCGUUGGCGUCGCUCAUCGACGACGAAAAGAAGCUUGGCGACUGCCAGUUCGACCUCUGGAAGCAGUACUACGUGACCGCAUGCGUCGCUAUGUUCGGCAAGCUCCAGCGUAGCCGCCGCUUGUACGCGGUCCAGAGCGACUGCACCGCGCUGUCCAUCUUCAAAUAGGGGGACCUCAUGGUCGUCGCCAACGCCGGCGACUCUCGGGUUGUUCUAGGCACCGCAUCCGACAACGGCGUCGUCACACCGUCCAGCUCAUCAUCCACCUGAAGCUCAACCUCCCAC